rnacentral:rRNA from 1 species
UACAGAGGGUGCAAGCGUUGUCCGGAUUUACUGGGCGUAAAGCGUUUCGUAGGUGGCUUUUUAAGUUAUCCUUCAAAGAUCAGGGCUCAACUCUGGGAAGGGGGGUAAUACUGGAAGGCUGGAAGUAUGUCGGGGUUACUGGAACUUACGGUGUAGGGGUGAAAUCCGUUGAUAUCGUAAGGAACACCAAGGGCGAAGGCAGGUAACUAGGCAUAUCUUGACACUGAGGAACGACAGCUAGGGGAGCGAAAGGG